UACUCGAGUGGCGAACGGGUGAGUAACACGUGGGUGAUCUGCCCUGCACUUCGGGAUAAGCCUGGGAAACGUGGGCCUAAUACCGGAUAGGAGCCAUUUUUAGUGUGAUGGUUGGAAAGUUUUUCGGUGUAGGAUGAGCUCGCGGCCUAUCAGCUUGUUGGUGGGGUAAUGGCCUACCAAGGCGGCGACGGGUAGCCGGCCUGAGAGGGUGGACGGCCACAUUGGGACUGAGAUACGGCCCAG
rnacentral:rRNA from 1 species